rnacentral:miRNA from 1 species
GUUUUGGUGAGUGCUUUACAGUCGGUUGGGGAUACUCUCUCUCUCUCUAUAUCUAUAUAUAUAUAUAUAUAUAUAUAUAUAUAUAUAUAUAGAUAUAGAGAGAGAGAGAGUAUCCCCAACCGACUGUAAAGCACUCACCAAAA